rnacentral:rRNA from 1 species
GACGCUCAUGGACGAAAGCCAGGGGAGCGAAAGGGAUUAGAUACCCCUGUAGUCCUGGCCGUAAACGAUGAACACUAGGUGUCGGGGGAAUCGACCCCCUCGGUGUCGUAGCCAACGCGUCAAGUGUUCCGCCUGGGGAGUACGCACGCAAGUGUGAAACUCAAAGGAAUUGACGGGGGCCCGCACAAGCGGUGGAGUAUGUGGUUUAAUUCGAUGCAACGCGAAGAACCUUACCAGGGUUUGACAUCCUGCGAAUCUCUUGGAAACAGGAGAGUGCCUUCGGGAACGCAGUGACAGGUGGUGCAUGGCUGUCGUCAGCUCGUGUCGUGAGAUGUUGGGUUAAGUCCCGCAACGAGCGCAACCCACGUCUUUAGUUGCCAGCAUUUAGUUGGGCACUCUAGAGAGACUGCCGGUGAUAAACCGGAGGAAGGUGUGGAUGACGUCAAGUCAUCAUGCCCCUUACAUCCUGGGCUACACACGUACUACAAUGCUACGGACAAAGGGCAGCAAGUUCGCGAGGACAAGCAAAUCCCAUAAACCGUGGCUCAGUUCAGAUCGUAGGCUGCAACUCGCCUACGUGAAGGCGGAAUCGCUAGUAAUCGCAGGUCAGCAUACUGCGGUGAAUACGUUCCCGGGCCUUGUACACACCGCCCGUCACACCAUGGAAGUUGGCCACGCCCGAAGCCGUUACUC